AUGUACCACGCGUCCACUGCGGUUCUGAGCGCGCCGUCCGCGCCCGCCUAACAACUGCUCCCUCCGUUUUGUUAGCC
rnacentral:sRNA from 1 species